rnacentral:lncRNA from 1 species
UCCGCCUUCCAGGUUCAGGCCAUUCUCCCGCCUCAGCUUCCCGAGUAGCUGGGACUACAGGCGCCCGCCACCACGCCAGGUUAAUUUUUUGUAUUUUUAGUAGAGACGGGGUUUCACCGUGUUAGCCAGCAUGGUCUCGAUCUCCUGACCUCGUGAUCUGCCCGCCUCGGCCUCCCAAAUUACAAGGAAGACACAGUAAGAUGUGAUCUUCUAAAGUGAAAAUUUCCCAAAGUACCAAGGAAAAGGAGAAACUGCAGAAGAGCUUCAAGAACCACAAACACUUGGGUUUUGCAUCUUGCCAGAAAAUCUGCACUGUUGGUAGAAGCCUGGGGUAGGGCUGGCAGGACCUGACUCAGCGGAGAAAAUGCCACCCACAGUCACUGACUCUGCUUCCGCAGUAGCGGAGCUCCCCUGUUUUCUCUGGAGGUUUCCCACAGCCGGGCCAAUACCCAUGUCUCUCAGAUGGGAAACUGGACUUUUGGAAAAUUGAAACUAAAUAAAGUUGUAUAACUUUUAAAAGAAGUUUACAAUUAUGAUGCUUUGCUUUUCACAUGCG